UAUGGCCACAUCAUAUUGAAAUGUCAGUUCCCGUACAAUCACCGAAGUUAAGCAACGUUGAGUCUGCUUAGUACCUAGAUGGGUGACCACUUGGGAAUACCAAGUGCUGUAUG